UACGUAGGGGGCUAGCGUUGUCCGGAAUCAUUGGGCGUAAAGAGCGCGUAGGCGGCCAGAUAAGUCCGGUGUGAAAGUCACAGGCUCAACCUGUGAAUGCCGCUGGAAACUGUCUGGCUAGAGUCCGGGAGGGGCGAGUGGAAUUCCUGGUGUAGCGGUGAAAUGCGCAGAUAUCAGGAGGAACACCAAUGGCGAAGGCAGAUCUCUGGGCCGUAACUGACGCUGAGGAGCGAAAGCAUGGGGAGCGAACAGG
rnacentral:rRNA from 1 species